rnacentral:tRNA from 2 species
CAUUAGAUGACUGAAAGUAAGUAAUGGUCUCUUAAACCAAACAAUAGUAGAUUAACGACUACUUCUGAUGA